rnacentral:rRNA from 1 species
AUGAUACUGGAGGUUCUACUCCGGCUCCCGGUCAAAUCCAUCCUGCGUUUCCACUCCGUCUGUCCCUCCUGGGCCGCAACGCUGUCCUCCAAGGAUUUCCGCAGCCUCCACAUGGCGGCCUCCAAGAUGCUGCCGCCUGCACCCAAGCUACUCGUGCUCUCGCCCGCAGCAACAUUCGGCUCCGUCGCCGUGUACGCGUGCUCGCCGUCAAGCCCCGUAGACGACCUACUCUUCACCUUUGCCUGCGCCCGCCGCAACUCCGUCCAAGUGGUGACACCCUCACCAUGCUGUGGACUCACCCUCCUGUACGACGCCUCCGCGCCGGCUUACUAUGUUUGCAAUGCGGCUACAAGGGCGCUCACACGCCUGCCGCCUCACCGUGUUCCCACGUACGAUUCCAGUGCCGGACUGGGAUUUGACGCCGGGACAAGGGAGUACAAGGUCGUGAGGUUGAUCAAUGGGGUUUCCGACGAGAAGGAGACGAUCAGGUGUGACGUGUGCACGCCGGAGCUGAUCGCUGGAGGCCGGCGACCGGAGGAGUGCCCUUCAAAUGGUCCUGGUUUGCAAAUUCCACGGUUCAUCAUGCGGCGGUGA